UACGGAGGGUGCAAGCGUUAAUCGGAAUUACUGGGCGUAAAGCGCACGCAGGUGGCUGAGAAAGUCGAUUGUGAAAGCCCUGGGCUUAACCUGGGAAUUGCAGUCGAAACUACUCGGCUAGAGUAUGGGAGAGGACAGUGGAAUUCCCGGUGUAGCGGUGAAAUGCGUAGAUAUCGGGGAGGAACACCGGUGGUGUAGACGGCUUUCUGGACCGUAACUGACGCUGAGACACGAAGC
rnacentral:rRNA from 1 species